rnacentral:lncRNA from 1 species
UAUGUUACCAAAGCUUAAGGACGGGCGCGGCGAUCUGUCACCAUGAAGGUGACCUUCUCUGUUGCCGUCCUUGUUCUAGCCAUCUCAGUGUGGACUUCCUUUGCAGUUGAUUUCUUCCUUCCUAUGGGCUUUCACACGACGGAGGAGCUUCUGAAAGAGACAAAGGCCCUGUGCGUGAAGAAUGUACAGAUGUGCUGGAUACUUACCUACUUCAAGCUCAGUGAGCCGAUAUGUGGCAGUAACCAGGUUACCUACAAUGGCGAGUGCCAUCUCUGCUCCGAAAUUCUAUUUGAAGACAGAACUAUAAUUAAAGUGCAUGAUGGGCCAUGUGAAACCUCCUCCGAUUAGUUUGGACAAAAAUAAAAGUUACUGAGUUCCCGGAGAGCACAUGGAGCAUGAUUGACUCUUCGAAGAUACCCAAUUCGGGAGACAGGGUCUGGCGUUCAGUGGUAGAGUGCACUAGUGUGCAGGAAGCCUUGGGGAGUGUUAAAAGAGAGCAGCUCCUUGAGAGAACACUUUGGUAGUAGAAGAUACUUGGAUCAAAUUCAUUGAUUUGUUUCUUCAAUAAAUGAUUCUCAGC